AGAGUUUGAUCCUGGCUCAGGAUGAACGCUAGCGGCAGGCCUAAUACAUGCAAGUCGAACGGUAACUAGUGUAGCAAUACACUGGCUAGAGUGACGUAAGGGUGCGUAACACGUAUGCAAUCUGCCCUCAACAGGAGAAUAGCUCCCCGAAAGGGGAAUUAACACUCCGUAACACCGCGAAAGGGCAUCCGAUUGCGGUU
rnacentral:rRNA from 1 species